AGCGGUGUAGCGCAGCCAGGUAGCGCGCGGGGCUCAUAACCCUGAGGUCGUCGGAUCGAAGCCGACCACCGCAA
rnacentral:tRNA from 1 species